rnacentral:lncRNA from 1 species
GACAAUUUGUGAGCAUAACAGACACAACGAAAGGCAUAGUACUACACAGAGGAGCUUAUGCUGGGGCCGCACAAUGAAGAGAUUCUCCUUCCCAACAGCGACUUUCACGCUACUCAUGUACCUGUUAGAAAUAGUCACCUCUCCUCUCUGCCUUGGCUUCGCAAGUGAAGGAGUGAGGCUGACUCAGGUCCUGCCUGCAUCAGCAGUUUGCUGUUGGGAAGACUUCUAUCAGCGUGAGCAGCGGGCACUGAGGAGAGGCAGUACACGCGUGAUCAGGAGUUGUGAAGCUCACGACUGGGGUAUGCACUGA